GUUACCUAGGAGAACCCUUGAGCGAGAUAAAGCGAAUACGCAUUGGCAUGAUGAAUUGUUUAAAGAAUGACUACAAUUUCAAGGAUAGAUCUCUGCAAAGGCGAGAUUUUGUCUAUCUCCCUUCGUAGAAUUGAAUGUUAGAGAUGGUACGGCGGUGCGGGAUUAAACAGAAGCGAGGUAGCAAGCGGGAAAAGUUCGCAGGACGACCCAACAGAGUUACUCAGGCAGCCACUUAUGGACUUCGGCAUUUUCUUGCUUUACGGCUAAUAAACUGAAAACUCAUCAACUUUAGGACUUUUUCGCCCCCCUCCUUCUGAACCUAGCAAGCCACUCGUCUAGAUCCUGUUCCAUCAUCCACUUUCAACAAAACGGCCGCCAAACUACGGGGGCUGAGCCCCACCGUAUUGAGUAGCAGGGGUGGCGGCUGUUGGGUCCUGCGUUUCACUAUGUUAGCACAGUCGGACUAACGGUGGUCCUACUCACAUUGAGAAGCCGCUUAGCCGGGACCGCCGACCCAGUGCCAGUGUCGGCAAAGCAUCGUUCUGUUGGGGUUUAUUUUUAAGCCAGCAAGGCAGGCGUCCGCUCGCCCCCUCAAACACAGCCUUCGGAACUAUCCCAGCGCUAUCCGGGCGCUGGACAGCCCUCUAUCCUAUAGCGUAGUAUAAAGUGGCAGUCGACCAGUUGAGAUUGUCGUCGCCGUAUACAACCUUCACCCCACCAGCAGAACUCGUCACUGUAGCGCCCGAGUCGCUUCUACUCUUGGGCUUCAUCGCCCGAAAAUCAGCUGGGGGCUAGCCAUGUAUCGGGCUUUCAAGAUACUAGGGCGGAUCCACGACGGCAACAAUGAGGAGGAACGGUAUUCUUAUCAUCAUGGACCUUUAUCGUGACCUGGGUUCCCGCGAGCGUCAAGAAAGACAACGACAGGACAUUCAUGCAAACAUCCGCAGGCCAUGCCCGUGCGCCCCGUCGCUAUCAUAGGCCCACCUCCUCGAUAUACCUUUUCUUUAGAGUAACAGGCUCCAUAGAGCCGAGCUAAGUUGUGCUUUAUAAAGAAUGAUGCAGGCGCGACAUCGAACAUCAGAAAGACAAUGCAGCAGGGUGCACUGCAAGUCAUUCACCUACGUAAGGCGAGUGGAUAACUCUGUGAGAGAGGCGAUCAAGCAUAACGGACGGGCGAAACGUUUCGGAAGAACGACAUAAGCGCACGAAAAGUAAUGGUUUGAUGGUGUAGGAUCAUCGUGAUCAUCAACACCGCGAUGUCUGAAGCUCAAUGACGAAUAUCGAGCGGGCUAUGAUACUAGAACGCCACCGUACAAUUUAGCAUUACUUCGAACGAUAAAAAAGCGAACAGCCGGCCAAUGGAAAGGGUAAACAGAGGCUCAUUGCCUCGACAUGUCAACAUCUCGGUAAAUUUUCUCCGUUUAUUCUUCAGGAAGGUGUUGGAUGUGAAGAACAAUUAUAGCAUCAACAAACAGGACUUCAAUUGUGCUAAAAUAAGAUUUGAGAUACUAACAGGUACAUAGGUUUGCUUUCUUUUUUUUUACCGAGAAUCCACAUUAUUGCGUCCCGAUUUUGAAAAGCUGGAUUUGAGGGCUACUAGAACUUUUCUCAUCGCAUUGGACGUUGCAACGCUUGUAACUUAAAAUGGGUCAAUUUGGUACG